AAGAAGGGGUAGACCUAAACUAACAUGGAGGAGAGUAGUGCUGUAACAUCCUCACUUUAGCUAAUCUGUACGUUCUACUGUUCCGGUGGCCAAUGUCGGUUCCGGCAGCUAGAAUAUCUGGAAUUAUAAUUAGACUAGAGUGAGGAUUUAUAAAUAAACCAAAUAAUGAUAAAAAAAAAAUUAAGAAAAAUUUUUAGAAAUGAAAUGAACUAAGGUUAAAUGAGCCGUAGCCUCAGCGAUGAGUGACCCUAAUGGGAAGUGACGGUGAAGGCCGUUAGCAACCCUAGACCCGGGGAAACCCCGUUAAAUAAUUUUUGGGAUUUCAAGGAAGGAUUAUUGAGGUUUCAAUGACAAUAAAUUGUUAAGGAAACACAAGAAAAAUUAAAUCGAUCGGUACACACGAUUUUAGCUCAUUAAGUCAAACGGAGGGCAUUUUG
rnacentral:misc_RNA from 1 species